rnacentral:tRNA from 1 species
UAGGUAAUAGUUAAGCAAUAUAUAACAUAGGUUUGUGGUACCUAAGAAGACUCUAUUGUCUUACCUGG